UACGUAGGGGGCAAGCGUUGUCCGGAUUUAUUGGGCGUAAAGAGCGUGUAGGCGGCCGCACAGGUCCGUUGUGAAAACUGGAGGCUUAACCUCCAGACGUCGAUGGAAACCGUGCGGCUAGAGUCCGGAAGAGGAGAAUGGAAUUCCUGAUGUAGCGGUGAAAUGCGCAGAUAUCAGGAAGAACACCCGUGGCUAAGACGGUUCUCUAGUACGGUACUGACGCUGAGACGCGAAAGCGUGGGGAGCGAACAGG
rnacentral:rRNA from 1 species